CCUACGGGUGGCUGCAGUGAGGAAUAUUGGUCAAUGGGCGGGAGCCUGAACCAGCCAAGUCGCGUGAGGGAAGACGGUCCUAUGGAUUGUAAACCUCUUUAGGCGGGGAGCAAUGCCGGGCACGCGUGCCCGGAGGGAGAGUACCCGCAGAAUAAGCAUCGGCUAACUCCGUGCCAGCAGCCGCGGUAAUACGGAGGAUGCGAGCGUUAUCCGGAUUUAUUGGGUUUAAAGGGUGCGUAGGCGGUAUGGCAAGUCAAGGGUGAAAUCCCCGGGCUCAACGUGGGAACUGCCUUUGAAACUGGCAAACUGGAGGGUGUGAGAGGAUAGUGGAAUUCCAGGUGUAGGAGUGAAAUCCGUAGAUAUCUGGAGGAACAUCAGUGGCGAAGGCGACUAUCUGGCACAUAACUGACGCUGAGGAGCGAAAGCGUGGGUAGCAAACAGGAUUAGAUACCCCUGUAGUC
rnacentral:rRNA from 1 species